UGUUACUGGGAUAUCUCAGUCGGUAGAGCGUGAGACUCUUAAUCUCAGGGUCAUGGGUGUGAGCCACAUAUUUGACAA